AUUGCGUAACGCGUGGGAAUCUGCCUUUAGGUACGGAAUAACUCUCCGAAAGGGGUGCUAAUACCGUAUAAUGUCUUCGGACCAAAGAUUUAUCGCCUUUAGAUGGGCCCGCGUUGGAUUAGCUAGUUGGUGAGGUAAAGGCUCACCAAGGCGACGAUCCAUAGCUGGUCUGAGAGGAUGAUCAGCCACACUGGGACUGAGACACGGCCCAGACUCCUACGGGAGGCGGCAGUGGGGAAUAUUGGACAAUGGGCGAAAGCCUGAUCCAGCAAUGCCGCGUGAGUGAUGAAGGCCUUAGGGUUGUAA
rnacentral:rRNA from 1 species